rnacentral:rRNA from 1 species
CGCCCUAGUUCUGACCGUAAACGAUGCCAACUAGCGAUCCGCCGGCGGAUUCAAUACGCCCUGGUGGGGAGCUUCCCGGAAACGAAAGUCUUCCGGUUCCGGGGGAAGUAUGGUUGCAAAGCUGAAACUUAAAGGAAUUGACGGAAGGGCACCACCAGGAGUGGAGCCUGCGGCUUAAUUUGACUCAACACGGGAAAACUCACCCGGCCCGGACACCGCGAGGAUUGACAGAUUGAUAGCUCUUUCAUGAUUCGGUGGAUGGUGGUGCAUGGCCGUUCUUAGUUCGUGGAGCGAUUUGUCUGGUUUAUUCCGAUAACGAGCGAGACUCUAGCCUACUAACUAGUCUGCGCACUCGUUCGCGACGUGCGCCAGACUUCUUAGAGGGAUUUUCGGCGUUUCAGCCGCAAGAAACUGAGCAAUAACAGGUCUGUGAUGCCCUUAGAUGUCCGGGGCUGCACGCGCGCUACACUGGCGAAAUCAGCGUGCCUGUCCUCUCGCGAAAGCGAUUGGUAAACCGGUGAAAAUUCGCCGUGAUUGGGAUCGGAAAUUGCAAUUAUUUUCCGUGAACGAGGAAUUCCAAGUAAGUGCGAGUCAUCAACUCGCGUUGAUUACGUC